rnacentral:rRNA from 1 species
GUGGGGAAUAUUGGACAAUGGGCGCAAGCCUGAUCCAGCAAUGCCGCGUGGGUGAAGAAGGUCUUCGGAUUGUAAAGCCCUUUCGACGGGGACGAUGAUGACGGUACCCGUAGAAGAAGCCCCGGCUAACUUCGUGCCAGCAGCCGCGGUAAUACGAAGGGGGCUAGCGUUACUCGGAAUUACUGGGCGUAAAGGGCGCGUAGGCGGCACUGUUAGUCAGGCGUGAAAUUCCCGGGCUCAACCUGGGGACUGCGCUUGAUACGGCAGAGCUAGAGGAUGGAAGAGGGUCGUGGAAUUCCCAGUGUAGAGGUGAAAUUCGUAGAUAUUGGGAAGAACACCGGUGGCGAAGGCGGCGACCUGGUCCAUUACUGACGCUGAGGCGCGACAGCGUGGGGAGCAAACAGG